UACGUAGGGGGCAAGCGUUGUCCGGAAUUAUUGGGCGUAAAGCGCGCGCAGGCGGUUUGUUAAGUUUGGUGUCUAAGGCUAGGGCUCAACCCCGGUUCGCACUGAAAACUGGCAGACUUGAGUGCAGAAGAGGAAAGUGGAAUUCCACGUGUAGCGGUGAAAUGCGUAGAGAUGUGGAGGAACACCAGUGGCGAAGGCGACUUUCUGGGCUGUAACUGACGCUGAGGCGCGAAAGCGUGGGGAGCAAACAGG
rnacentral:rRNA from 1 species